AAUUCUCAACCUCUCAAGCUUUUAUUAUUGAAAGCUAGUCAGGCUUGGAUUCUGGGAAUUGCUGGGUUCUUCAAUGAAGUCAGCUCUCCUUAAAUGUAUUAGCAAGAUUAAUCGCUGGAUCACUUGUGAUAUGAUAAUUAUCUAUAUCAUCAAUGAGACGGUGUUUUCCUUCACGGAAAGAUCUAGCUUCUAAUCGUCUCUUCAGACAAUUCAUUGACU
rnacentral:misc_RNA from 1 species